GACGAACGCUGGCGGCGUGCCUAAUACAUGCAAGUAGAACGCUGAAGAGAGGAGCUUGCUCUUCUUGGAUGAGUUGCGAACGGGUGAGUAACGCGUAGGUAACCUGCCUGGUAGCGGGGGAUAACUAUUGGAAACGAUAGCUAAUACCGCAUAAAAUGGAUUAUCGCAUGAUAAUCCAUUGAAAGGUGCAAAUGCAUCACUACCAGAUGGACCUGCGUUGUAUUAGCUAGUUGGUGGGGUAACGGCUCACCAAGGCGACGAUACAUAGCCGACCUGAGAGGGUGAUCGGCCACACUGGGACUGAGACACGGCCCAGACUCCUACGGGAGGCAGCAGUAGGGUAUCUUCGGCAAUGGACGGAAGUCUGACCGAGCAACGCCGCGUGAGUGAAGAAGGUUUUCGGAUCGUAAAGCUCUGUUGUAAGAGAAGAACGAGUGUGAGAGUGGAAAGUUCACACUGUGACGGUAUCUUACCAGAAAGGGACGGCUAACUACGUG
rnacentral:rRNA from 1 species